rnacentral:rRNA from 1 species
GCCCUAACACAUGCAAGUCGAACGGUAACAGGAAGCAGCUUGCUGCUUCGCUGACGAGUGGCGGACGGGUGAGUAAUGUCUGGGAAACUGCCUGAUGGAGGGGGAUAACUACUGGAAACGGUGGCUAAUACCGCAUAACGUCGCAAGACCAAAGAGGGGGACCUUCGGGCCUCUUGCCAUCAGAUGUGCCCAGAUGGGAUUAGCUUGUUGGUGAGGUAACGGCUCACCAAGGCGACGAUCCCUAGCUGGUCUGAGAGGAUGACCAGCCACACUGGAACUGAGACACGGUCCASACUCCUACGGGAGGCAGCAGUGGGGAAUAUUGCACAAUGGGCGCAAGCCUGAUGCAGCCAUGCCGCGUGUAUGAAGAAGGCCUUCGGGUUGUAAAGUACUUUCAGCGGGGAGGAAGGUGUUGCGGUUAAUAACCGCAGCAAUUGACGUUACCCGCAGAAGAAGCACCGGCUAACUCCGUGCCAGCAGCCGCGGUAAUACGGAGGGUGCAAGCGUUAAUCGGAAUUACUGGGCGUAAAGCGCACGCAGGCGGUCUGUCAAGUCGGAUGUGAAAUCCCCGGGCUCAACCUGGGAACUGCAUUCGAAACUGGCAGGCUUGAGUCUUGUAGAGGGGGGUAGAAUUCCAGGUGUAGCGGUGAAAUGCGUAGAGAUCUGGAGGAAUACCGGUGGCGAAGGCGGCCCCCUGGACAAAGACUGACGCUCAGGUGCGAAAGCGUGGGGAGCAAACAGGAUUAGAUACCCUGGUAGUCCACGCCGUAAACGAUGUCUACUUGGAGGUUGUGCCCUUGAGGCGUGGCUUCCGGAGCUAACGCGUUAAGUAGACCGCCUGGGGAGUACGGCCGCAAGGUUAAACUCAUAUGAAUUGACGGGGGCCCGCACAAGCGGUGGAGCAUGUGGUUUAAAUCGAUGCAACGCGAAGAACCUUACCUGGUCUGACAUCCACGAGAGGUCUCAGAGAUGAAAUUGUGUCCUUCGG